rnacentral:rRNA from 1 species
AGCAGCCGCGGUAAUUCCAGCUCCAAUAGCGUAUAUUAAAGUUGCUGCAGUUAAAAAGCUCGUAGUUGAAUUUCGGGAUCAAUAUGUUGGUCGUGCCUCGGUACGUACUAGCUUAUUGAUUUCUCCCUUCUGACGAACCAUGAUGUCAUUUAUUUGGUGUUAUGGGAAAUCAGGACUGUUACUUUGAAAAAAUUAGAGUGUUUAAAGCAGGCUCACGCUUGAAUACAUUAGCAUGGAAUAAUGAAAUAGGACGUUUGAUUCUAUUUUGUUGGUUUCUAGGAUCGACGUAAUGAUUAAUAGGGAUAGUUGGGGGCAUUAGUAUUCAAUUGUCAGAGGUGAAAUUCUUGGAUUUAUUGAAGACUAACUACUGCGAAAGCAUUUGCCAAGGAUGUUUUCAUUAAUCAAGAACGAAAGUUAGGGGAUCGAAGACGAUCAGAUACCGUCGUAGUCUUAACCAUAAACUAUGCCGACUAGGGAUCGGAUGAUGUUAAUUUUUAAUGACUCAUUC